GAGAGGUAUAGUUGCAUAGCUGAAACUUAAAAUAAUAGACAAAAGGGCACGCCAUUAGGAGUGGAGCCUGCGGUCUAAUUCAACUCAACAUGGCAGGAGAACUCACUCAAUCCAGACAACUAUUAGGAUUAACAGAUUGAGAGAUCUUUCUUGAUUCGGUUGAUGGUAAUGCAUGGCUGUUUGUUAUUAGUUGGUGGAGUGAUUUGUUUUUGGUUAAAUCUGACAACGAACAAGACUUUAACCUACUAAAUAGUUGAUAAGUCUUCUGUACUCGUUCAGGGUAGUAUUGCUUCUAUUUCUUCUUUUUCAAUGGAGUAGUAUAGUUGUGAUCUGUCAGGAUGACCUGCCAGUUUUUAACUGCUUAUAAAGGGACAAGUACUUUAUCAGAUAUGAUUCAACUUUACAAAUAAGUUGAAUGAUAAACUCAUUAUGUGGUAUUUCAAGUAUUACUCCUCCUGGUACA
rnacentral:ncRNA from 1 species